rnacentral:tRNA from 1 species
GGAGACGUAUCGAAGUGGUCAUAACGGGGCGCACUCGAAAUGCGUUAGCCUUUAACUAGGCUCGAGAGUUCGAAUCUCUCCGUCUCCG